ensembl:lncRNA
AGAGCGUGGAGGUGGCGCGGGCGCGGCGGUGGACCUGGGGGUCGUCACUCCUGCAGCUGGCAGCCGCCGCUGGGCGCUUCCUGUCGCAUCUCUCUUGUCCGGCGGGCGCCCAUCCCGCCCCGCCCCGGCCCGUGGACCUGCAAACCGAGGCUCAGAGCGGAUUUGCCCUAGGGGCUUUCACGAGCUUAGCAGAGGGGUUCCCGGCGGGGUUCCCUGGGGUCACGGGGCGCGAUGAGCAGCGAAGAAAGGAGGCGAGGAGCUGCGUCCGGGCUGGGUGCUCUCUGAACGCGAGGAGGCGGGAUGCGCUCGCCGGGGUCCAUGAUGUGCUCGGCGCCCGUCCCUGGGCCCGGGAAUUCGGCCGCUGGGGAACCCGGGCCAGCGAAUUCGCCCGCGAUCUCCGCGGAUCCCAGGACUGCCAGCGCUUUGGCCCUAGAUGGACGGUGGGGAAUGGGGUAGGGGGCUCCGGAACCCCUAACGUGGAUUACUUGGUGCAUAUCGCCCAGGCAUGGAAGACCCACCACCUCGUCUCCACCCAUGGAUUGAUGCCUUCUGCCGAACAGGUCGCUUACCUGGAGGUGGAACCAGAGAUUCGUGGCUGCUGUGGGUAGGUGCUUCUGACGGGGAAAGAAGGACAAGAUGAGAGGCCUGGAAGGAAGGACCGAUAAAGGGCUGUUCUUCCUCGCCCACGCUUCCCACCAGGAACUUCUGUGGAGCCAGAGUUUGCCGCCAGGACCCCCACAGGACCUGGGUGAAAAAGGACCAUCUCUUAAGAGGCAAGAGCUCUUGAUUUGAUUGAGGAUUCUUAUUUUGGAGAACAAAGCAACUUCCAGAUUUGAGAAGACCUGCAGUUGAAGAAGACACCAUUGUCCCGGAUCCCUUGUUCUUCCUUCGCGUGGGAAAUGUUUCUUGGCGGGUGCCUGGUCUUAAGACUCCCCCACACUGGCCCCAGGGAAGCCAAGGACUUUCUGCCACACCCUUCCUCGCCCCCCACCUCCCACGUCCGCUGUGCCUUUGGACUCGGCAAUUCUUCUUGUUUGCUCCAUUAUCUUCCAGCCGGAUACAGAGUGAAUAGUUAACUACCCGCAGGUCAAUGGGGUCUUAAUUUUUGUUCCUGCUCCCUCUACAGAGGCCAGUGUCUGUGUGUUGCUAUGCAAGCGGCCUUGGAAUUGCAUCCCUUCUCAUUGAUUUGGGAUCUGGCCCCCGCAGGUUCCAGAGCAAUGCGGGUCCAGGCAGAAAUUCUUCAGGCUCUCAGGAUGUUGGAGGGGGCGCUGGCCGCGAGCUGGACCAUGAAGGCUGGUGUUCCCCACAUUCAGCUUUCUUGGGUUCGGAUCAUAAGCAGGUGUAGAUCUGGAGAAGCAGAAAAUGAACACAUUUUCUACUGACACCGAUGCACGGUCAGCGGUGAAGACCUUCUCCCAGCUAGCAUUUGGGUUCUGUGUCCAAACGCGGCGCUUCAUGGCAGAGUAUCCAGCCACCAGAGUUGGUGUGUCUUGAGGACCUGAAUUCUUGAGUGUGUGCUGGUGACACAGCCCUCUGACAGUCGAUGGGGCCUCACAAAACACAAGUCCUGCCUUUUCCUUUUCACUCUGUGGCCGUCAUACAUACGGCUAAAAACAUUUCCUAGAGAUCAGUCAUGGUUCAGUCGUGUCCAAAACGCAGAGCCAAAGAUGCAUUUUCUCUUUUCACAGCAAAUGAAUGACUUGCCUUCGGAAAAAGAAUGAAAGCCAGACAUUCUGCAUCUUUCCCGUGUUGUAGAUGAUGCAUUUGGAUGACCACUUUGUGACUUUGGUGUCUUAGAAGGGAAGCAGUGGGGUCCUUGGCAUCUCAGAUUCACCACAAAACAGACGAGGAGAACUUCUGGCGGAUGGUUUGUGCUUUUGAAAUGGGAGGCUUGUUUGUGGGCUUUUACCUUCCUUCCUUGACCUGCAGACACCUCAUUGCAUUAGAUUCCUUUGGGUUUUAAGAAGCAGAGACUUGCUGAUACUGCUCCGUACGUGCUGGUUUGUUUCGAGUUGCCAUGGACGUAAAGAAGAAAGGAAGCAGCCCGCCGAGGCGCUCUCCACCUAGGCCUGCCCAAGAAGCCCAAGUCGUUCCAGAUAGCCAGGGAUAGCAGAACCGAACCACCCUGGCCAUCUUGAUCUUCUGUUUGCACCAGCAUCCACUGUUCCCAGGAUCCUACCAUGGUGAUGAGCUGAGGGUGACUCAGUUGGCCCAGGACUGAGGAGUUUCCUGGGAUGCAGGACUUUUUAGUGCUAAACCUAGGACAGUCCUAAGCAAACUGGAACAACCAGUCACCCUACUGGGUGACUCGAGGACCCUGCCUCUCUUCUACUUUCCCUGCUGUGACUGGCUGAUGCUCUUGAUGGGUCUGGCCAGUCGCCAUUCAAAACUCUUGCGUCAGGCAACUUCAUUGGCCACUGGGCUACCUAUAGAUGGGUGCCCGUGGACCCAGCACCAACCCAUCUUGACCAGAUUUGUUGUUUCCAGGGUCAUAGGGUUGCAUAAUCUAGAAUAAAAGCCUGGCUGUAAACAACCAGCUGAGACCACUUCCUUCAGAAGACUGCUGUGGACAGGUGGCCCUGGCAGGCAUUCAAGGUAAAAUGAGUGAGUCAGGCCACACGCUUCCCAAAGCCUCUGCCAGCGCUGCCAUCCACAGGGCUGCCAUAUUGGAUGCAGUUCAUGACAAAGGAUUUGCUACUUUUUGUUCUCUCUGGCUCUCCUCCUGCCUUCCCUUCAGCUUGCUCCAAGAUCAUGUGGACACACACCUCAGCAACCUCUGCCCCUCUGACCUCAUCCAAGUCACUGGCCUUGGGAGGCAGCCCAGGUGUUUCGAUUGGGCCAACUGCUGACAUUCCCUGCUGGUGACAACUUCUCCUCGAAGUAACACUGGAGAGAAGAAACUAAGAAACAGGCCUUUGAUGUGCCAGGGCAUCAGGAGAUUUCAACUAAAGCCUUGAGAGUAUCCACAUGGAUGUCUGAAGCGUGUUUCAUUCCAUUCAAAACAGUGUUUGUCCUGCAAGUCUGAGGCUCCUGUAAAGAGAAGUUAAAUCAAACCCCGGCACACCCUGAGUGCUAUAAAAUUACUCAUGAGAAACUUGUUGUCAAUUACCAGAGUAAAAUAAUAGGGCGUUUUUUCUCUCUUUAUUUAAAAUACCACUUCACAGCCAAGCAGUCAGGAGUGCCGUCAAGGGCCGGAUGUACUGCUUCCCAGCAGGGUUGGACAGGUUGCUGGGGCUCACCCAGUGGGUGGAUUUAUGGCUUAGCUGGCAUUCUGGGUGACACAAGGCCGUCUCGUGAGCUGCUGCAGGAGGACAGUGCCCGUGCUUGUGACUGGCCCCAUUCCCUUCCCGAGGAGGUACCAACUGCUCGGCCCCAUGGAGGUUGUCUGCACCCCAGAAGAUUUCUGUUAUGUCCUUGACAGGCUUUCUGUGAGCCUCCUGGCAUGCCUUCCCCAUGCUGGCUGCCCAUGGCUGCUUCUUCACCGCCCAGAUGAAUGGAAAGCUCCCACAGCCCCUGGGAGGCUGCCAUAUUGAUCUCCGGGGGGAAGCACGCCUUUUCCGCGCUCUCAGGAUGAAUGGGAAGAAAACAAAUGCCUUGGCAAAUGCAUUGGGGUUGGCUCGAUCCAGAUGGCAAAAGGGAGCAUCUCAAUAAAUGGUCAUAUUAUAACAUUUAUCAACACCCUUGAGUCACUGGUUCUUAACUACCAAGACGCAUUAGCUAAGUUAUGGUCUUGGCUCUUUUAAGAACUAGCUUUUGGAGUUAUUUUACUUCUUGGGUCUUAAUGGUCUGAGAUGAAUGCUAUCAACACUUACAAAGUAUCCUCAGGCACUGAGUACUUUUAUUCAUAUUCUGCAAGCGUGAUGCUGACAAUAAUCCUGCGUGAUGAUCAGGAUCAUUUAUGGUAUACACAACAGGAACACUGGGUUCAGAGAGACUUUCAGUGAGUCACCCCAGAUUGCACAGUGAGUGAAAGAGUCAGGAAUUCAACCCAAGUCUCUGACUCCAAAUUUUGUGCCCUUCUCGAUCAUCAUAGUGAAAUUGCACUUGGCAAUCAGCAGGUCCUACCAGCUUUUAACAUCAUCUGACUGUAGGAUUCAAUGCCUGCUUGGAGGCUGUCUUCUACACACGGCAAUUGUGGAAUUUAGAAUUGAGAGCCUUUGGAGGGUAUCGCAGCCUCUUAUGCAGAUAAGAAAUGGAGUCACAGUUCCCUCUUGUAAUGCGUUCCUGGAUCAUUCAGCUUCUUUUUACAUCAGUCUUGCUAUUGAUAAGACAUCUUUUCUGGCACCUUUCCUCUACUCUCUUCUGCUACAGCUCAAGACAAAACUAUAAUUCACAAAGACACAUGCACACCUGUGUUCAGUGCAGCACUAUUCACGAUAGCCAAGACAUGGAAACAACCUAAAUGUCCAUCAACAGAUGAAUCGAUAAAGAUGUGGUACAUAUAUACAAUGGAAUACUACUCAGCCAUAAAAAAAGAAUGAAAUAGUGCCCUUCACAGCAACAUGGAUAUGACUAGAGAUCAUCACACCAAGUGAAAUAAGUCAGAUAGAGAAAGGCAAAUACCAAAUGAUGUCAUGUCUAUGUGGAAUCUAAAACAUGGCACAAAUGAACCUAUGUACAAAACAGAAACAGACUCAUAGCCAUAGAGAACAGACUUGUGGUUGCCGAGAGGGGGUGGUGGUUGGGAUGGACUGGGUGUUUGGGGGUCAGAAGAUGCAAACUAUUACAUUUAGGAUGGAUAAGCAAUGGGGUCAUACUGUAUAGCACAGAGAACUAUAUCCAGUCUCUUGGGAUAGAAUAUGAUGGAAGAUAAUAUAAGAAGAGGUAUAUAUAUAUAUGGAUGACUGGGUCACUUUGCUGUACAGCUGAAAUUGGCACAACAUUGUAAAUCAACUCUACUUGAAUAAAAAAAUCAUUCAUGUAAAAA